rnacentral:misc_RNA from 1 species
GCUGAAGUGCACACGGC